UACGAAGGGGGCUAGCGUUGCUCGGAAUCACUGGGCGUAAAGGGUGCGUAGGCGGGUCUUUUAAGUCAGGGGUGAAAUCCUGGAGCUCGACUCCAGAACUGCCUUUGAUACUGAAGAUCUUGAGUUCGGGAGAGGUGAGUGGAACUGCGAGUGUAGAGGUGAAAUUCGUAGAUAUUCGCAAGAACACCAGUGGCGAAGGCGGCUCACUGGCCCGGUACUGACGCUGAGGUGCGAAAGCGUGGGGAGCAAACAGG
rnacentral:rRNA from 1 species